CGGACGGGUGAGUAAUGUCUGGGAAACUGCCCGAUGGAGGGGGAUAAUUACUGGAAACGGUAGCUAAUACCGCAUAACGUCGCAAGACCAAAGAGGGGGACCUUCGGGCCUCUUGCCAUCGGAUGUGCCCAGAUGGGAUUAGCUAGUAGGUGGGGUAACGGCUCACCUAGGCGACGAUCCCUAGCUGGUCUGAGAGGAUGACCAGCCACACUGGAGCUGAGACACGGUCCAG
rnacentral:rRNA from 1 species